rnacentral:tRNA from 2 species
CGGAAUGUGGCGCAGCAUGGUAGCGCGCUUCACUGGGGGUGAAGAGGUCGCAGGUUCAAAUCCUGUCAUUCCGACCA